UUUCCGUAGGUGAACCUGCGGAAGGAUCAUUAAUGAGUUGUCAUGGGGUUCGAUGCUGGCAGCCAAUUUUUGGAUGCAUGUGCUCGCCCUAACAAUCAUCUUCCAAACGCCUGUGCACAUUUUUGAGGGAGUCUUGAGUUGGUUGCCGCUCUUGGGUGAUUUUCUCACAUUCCCUUAAAUCAUUAUACGCUAUUAACAAUGUUGAACGUGCUCUGUGCCGCAAGGCUAUUAAUAUAAUACAACUUUUAACAACGGAUCUCUUGGCUCUC
rnacentral:misc_RNA from 1 species